UGAUAUAAAAUAUAGAAACCUGAAAUGUUUCAAAAUUUUUAAUUUAUUUUUUUUAGAAAGUUAAUAUUAAAAAUAUCUUUUUAACGUUCAAAGUUAUUUCAAAUAUAUUUCUAGAGUUAAAUUCUGUUGUUAUCUCUGUGAAAUUAUUAUUUUGUCUUUUCAAAUAUACCCUUUUAUCAUUACAAACUUUUCUUAUUUGUUCUUAAGUUAGGGAUAAAAAAAAUAUUUUAAUUUUUUAUCUUUUCAAAUGUACCCUUCUACAGUCACUAAUUUUUCUUAAUUGCUUUUAAGUUAAGGAUAAAAAAGGUAUUUUAAUUUUUUUUAACUCUGGUAGAUAUUUAACAUAUUUUUAAUCCGAGAUAACUUAACUGGUGGUAACUUGGGUGCAUUUUUGAAUAACGGGGUAACAUAUGAGAGGUAUAUUUGAAACAAAAUAAAAAUAGAGAUAAAUUAGAUAUUUCUGAAAAUUUGAAGGGUAUAUAGGUAAUUAUCCCAAAUAUAUAUAUAUAGAGGUACAAUUAAUAAUAUAUAGAUGCAAAAUUUAACUAUGGCAUAUUUAUCCCUCCAAACUUUAAAUCAUAAAUAAUUGUUGUAAAUCUUUUAAAAAAUUGCAAAUAUAUUCU
rnacentral:lncRNA from 1 species